CGUAGGAGGCAAGCGUUGUCCGGAUUUAUUGGGUUUAAAGGGUGCGUAGGCGGUCUUGUAAGUCAGUGGUGAAAUACGGCAGCUUAACUGUCGAGGUGCCAUUGAUACUGCAGGACUUGAGUACAGACGAGGUAGGCGGAAUUGACGGUGUAGCGGUGAAAUGCUUAGAUAUCGUCAAGAACACCGAUAGCGAAGGCAGCUUACUAGACUGUAACUGACGCUGAUGCACGAAAGUGUGGGGAUCAAACAGGAUUAGAUACCCUGGUAGUCCACACUGUAAACGAUGAUUACUCGAUGUUGGCGAUACACAGCCAGCGUCUUAGCGAAAGCGAUAAGUAAUCCACCUGGGGAGUACGCCGGCAACGGUG
rnacentral:rRNA from 1 species